GAUGAACGCUGGCGGCGUGCCUAAUACAUGCAAGUCGAGCGAACGGACGAGAAGCUUGCUUCUCUGAUGUUAGCGGCGGACGGGUGAGUAACACGUGGAUAACCUACCUAUAAGACUGGGAUAACUUCGGGAAACCGGAGCUAAUACCGGAUAAUAUUUUGAACCGCAUGGUUCAAAAGUGAAAGACGGUCUUGUUGUCAGUUGUGGAUGGAUCCGCGCUGCAUUAGCGUGUUGGUGAGGUAACAGCUUACCAAGGCAACGAUGCGUAGCCGACCUGAGAGGGUGACCGGCCACAGUGGGACGGAGAUACGGCCAAGACUCCGACGGGAGGCAGCAGUGGGGAAUAUUGCACAAUGGGCGGAAGCCGGAUGCAGCAACGCCGCGUGCGGGAUGACGGCCUUCGGGUUGUAAACCGCUUUCGCCUGUGACGAAGCGUGAGUGACGGUAAUGGGUAAAGAAGCACCGGCUAACUACGUG
rnacentral:rRNA from 1 species